CCUACGGGAGGCAGCAGUGGGGGAUAUUGCACAAUGGGGGGAACCCUGAUGCAGCGACGCCGCGUGGGUGAAGGAGCGUUUCGGCGCGUAAAGCCCUAUCGGCAGGGAAGAAGGAGGACGGUACCUGACCAAGAAGCCCCGGCUAACUACGGGCCAGCAGCCGCGGUAAUACGUAGGGGGCAAGCGUUAUCCGGAUUUACUGGGUGUAAAGGGGGCGCAGACGGGAGCGCAAGCCAGGAGUGAAAGCCCGGGGCCCAACCCUGGGACUGCUCUUGGAACUGCGCGGCUGGAGUGCAGGAGGGGCAGGCGGAAUGCGUGGUGUAGCGGUGAAAUGCGUAGAUAUCAGGAGGAACACCGGUGGCGAAGGCGGCCUGCUGGACUGCGACUGACGUUGAGGCCCGAAAGCGUGGGGAGCAAACAGGAUUAGAUACCCGGGUAGUC
rnacentral:rRNA from 1 species